GACGAACGCUGGCGGCGUGCUUAACACAUGCAAGUCGAACGAAGAGCGACGGAAGCUUGCUUCUAUCAAUCUUAGUGGCGAACGGGUGAGUAACGCGUAAUCAACCUGCCCUUCAGAGGGGGACAACAGUUGGAAACGACUGCUAAUACCGCAUACGAUCUAACCUCGGCAUCGAGGAUAGAUGAAAGGUGGCCUCUACAUGUAAGCUAUCACUGAAGGAGGGGAUUGCGUCUGAUUAGCUAGUUGGAGGGGUAACGGCCCACCAAGGCGAUGAUCAGUAGCCGGUCUGAGAGGAUGAACGGCCACAUUGGGACUGAGACACGGCCCAGACUCCUACGGGAGGCAGCAGUGGGGAACCUUCCGCAAUGGACGAAAGGCUGAAGGAGCAACGCCGCGUGAGUGAUGACGGCCGUCGGGUUGUAAAGCUCUGUUAAUCGGGACGAAAGGCCUUCUUGCGAAUAGUGAGAAGGAUUGACGGUACCGGAAGAGAAAGCCACGGCUAACUACGUG
rnacentral:rRNA from 1 species